CAGCCGCCGCGGGAAUACGGAGGGAGCUAGCGUUGUUCGGAAUCACUGGGCGUAAAGCGCACGUAGGCGGCUAUUCAAGUCAGGGGUGAAAGCCCGGGGCUCAACCCCGGAACUGCCUUUGAAACUAGAUAGCUUGAAUCUUGGAGAGGCGAGUGGAAUUCCGAGUGUAGAGGUGAAAUUCGUAGAUAUUCGGAAGAACACCAGUGGCGAAGGCGACUCGCUGGACAAGUAUUGACGCUGAGGUGCGAAAGCGUGGGGAGCAAACAGGAUUAGAUACCCGUGUAGUCCCUGUCUCUUAUAC
rnacentral:rRNA from 1 species